rnacentral:misc_RNA from 1 species
GAAAAGGCGCGGGAUAGCGUGCGCUACCGGAUGGCGG